CUACUGUAUUUCUUCUGAUGUGAUCCGCAUUGUUUUUCCACAUAUACACUUUCUUUUUACAGGUCCACUCAAAAGCAUGUGGGAUGAAAAGACAAUUGUCAUCUCACAGCUUCUUUCGACUUCAUUGCUUUUCUCAGGUAGCUAGUUAUCAUAUUCCGUCAUCUCAUCAUGUGUACAUUUGUAUAAUAACAUUUAGUAAAGCAUUAUUUAGAAUGUUGGUUUUACAACAACCGUCACCAAGAAGCACACAAGUAUCACACUAUCUUUGCUGAUGUAAUACAAGAGAAUUUAAGUUUCUCCCUUAUCGAUGGCUGUGUUGUUUGUCUCCUUCCUUAGUCAUUAUUGAGGUUCAGUUCCCUAUUUCACCUAUGGGAGUGACAGCUCUGGACAGUGACAUCACCCUUAGAUGAUCUUUCCCUCCGUAUGAAAACCUCAACCUCAACAACGUGAUUGUCAACUGGCAGCGUGGAGAGUCAGAGGUGGUCCACAGCUAUUACCAUGGGAGACAUCAGCUGGAAAGACAGAGUGUCGUUUACAAGGGACGAACUCAUCUGUUUGAAGACCAGCUCACUGUGGGAAAGGCGUCACUUAGACUGAGUGGUGUGCAGCUGAGUGACCAGUGCCCAUACACCUGUGAUGUGACAGAUGAACAGGGAAGCACCAAGGAAAGCUACAACUUUUAGUGGCAGGUUAGAGACUAUUUAUUUUUGUCCAUUCAGGUUUUUUUUUAAAUCUUGCAUCUAUGAGGGAUUAAGAGACUUAAAAGUAUUAAGCUAUCUGCACAAAAUCAGCUUAUUGUCAUCUACUUGCCUAAAGCCCUCUGCAGUCAGAAUUGCAAUUUGUUAAGAGCUGAAUAGGAGUAUUGUUGUUGUUGUUGUUUUUGUUUAGCCCUAGCCCCCUUCAAGGAGCCCCAGCUCUUUGUACAGUCAUCCUGUGACAGCUUCAUCAUUGCCUUCCACUCCUCUCAGGGUUUCCCCCAGCCUGAUGUGUGGUGGACGGACUCCAUUGGAGGAGACAUCUUCAAUCAGAGCCACAGCCGUAUCGGCCUGGACAGCAGGGGGCGCUAUGAGGUCCACAGCUCCAUGGAGGUCAGUCCAAACAGUACUCACCAUCAUUGUUGAAAUGAGACUAGAGGUUCUCAAUCAAACCUUCACCCGCUCGCUCACCCUCCACCCACUUCCAGAAUGCUGUGAGGUGCCUCUUGCAACCAGGGGCAGACCGGCUUUGGUGUUAUUAGGGAUAGUUCUCUUAGCAGCAUUAGCAAUGCCACUCAUUUUGUACUUCAGACGCAAGCCUGAAGCACACCGACACCAGAUGGUCCCACAUGACGACACAACAGGACAAGACGAGGCUCAUGAAACAGAAAUUUGAUAAAAACUAGUUACAAAAGUCUAAGCUGUGUUUCAAUGUCACAAAUAUAGGUGUGUGUGUGUGUUGUUGCCUUAUUAAAUAUUUCCAAUCCCUCUUGGUAAAGUAUUAUAGAGUACGGCUGGAAGGAGACUUUGCUACUCCCUGCAACCCUACGUAAUCCAGCCUACUUAGAUUAUUUUGCGAUGCAAAGCUGUCAAGGCAAAGGGUGGCUACUUUGAAGAAUCUAAAAUAUAUAAAUAUAUUUUGAUUUCUUUAACACUUUUUUUGUGGUUCUACAUGAUUCCAUAUGUGUUAUUUCAUAGUUUUGAUGUCUUCACUAUUAUUUCACAAUGUAGAAAAUAGUUAAAAAAAAGGAAAACCCCUGAAUGAGUAAGUGUGUCCAAACUUUUGACUGGUACUGUACAUUUUGUCCAAUGUUAUUGUCAAAGGUGGCCUGGUAACAACAACUGUGGGAAAAGUACUAUCCACCUUACAGUUGGACUGGUUGAAAAGUUGAUCCUACACCACGAGGUGGAUGGAACGUCUGGGGCAUAUUAUAGAAAUAUUUCAAAUUUCAUGGCACUUGGAGUCACUCUGUGAGACAGUUCAUUACAUUAACUAUUUACCGUUGCUGCAAAACUUGAAUGUGCAUUGUCACUUAGAUAAGGAAUGACAUACAACCCUAGUGAUAGCAGUUAAAAAAGAUGCCCUUUGACACCAUCACCCUCAGAGCUAAAGUGUGAAACUUUACUUAUAUUGAUGACAGUGAUGAGGCCAGCCUGUGCCCAUCCAUUCAAAGUGUCAAAGAAACUAAGCAAGAGGAGUGUUUUGUCUGUGAGCUGCAAUGCCAUGUUGGCCUACUGUUGGUUAUAAAACCGAUAAAUCCACAAUAAUCAAGAACUUCAAGAAGCAUUUCUCUAUGGCUGGCCAUGCUUUCCUUCUGGCUACCCCAACACCGGCCAACAGCUCCGCACCCCCCCGCACCCCCCACAGCUACAUGCCCAAGCCUCCCCAGCUUCUCCUUCACCCAAAUCCAGAUAGCAGAUGUUCAGAAAGAGCUGCAAAACCUGGAACCGUACAAAUCAGCUGGGCUAGACAAUCUGGACCCUCUCUUUCUAAAAUUAUCUGCCUCCAUGGUUGCAACCCCGAUUACCAGUCUGUUCAACCUCUCUUUCAUAUCGUCCGAGAUUCCUAAAGAUUGGAAAGCUGCCGCGGUCAUCCCCCUCUUCAUCCCCCUCUUCAAAGGGGGUGACACUCUAGACCCAAACUGAUACAGACCUUUAUACAUCCUGCCCUGCCUUUGUAAAGUCUUCGAAAGCCAAGUUAACAAACAGAUCAACGACCAUUUUGAAUCCCACCGUACCUUCUCCGCUGUGCAAUCCUGUUUCCUAGCUGGUCACGGGUGCACCUCAGCCACGCUCAAGGUACUAAACAAUAUCAGAACCGUCAUCGAUAAAAGACAGUACUGUGCAGCCGUCUUCAUCGACCUGGCCAAGGCUUUCGGCUUUCGUCAAUCACUGUAUUCUUAUUGGCAUACUCAACAGCCUUGGUUUCUCAAAUGACUGCCUCACGUGGUUCACCAGCUACAUCUUAGAUAGAGGGCCUGUUGUCCGGACCUCUGGCAGUCACUAUGGGGGUACCACAGGGUUUAUUCUCGGGCUGACUCUUUUCUCGGUAUAUAUCAACGAUGUCGCUCUUGCUGCGUGUGAUUCUUUGAUCCACCUCUACGCAGACGACACCAAUCUGUAUACAUCUAGCCCUUAUUUUGACACUGUGUUAACAAACCUCCAAACGAGCUUAAUGCCACACAACACCCCUUCCGUGGCCUCCAACUGCUCUGAAGCGCUAGUAAAACUAAAUGCAUGCUCUUCAACCGAUCGCUGGAUUAGCAUCACUACGCUUCGCUACUAUGGCUUAUUUAUUGCCUUACCUCCUUACGCAAUUUGCACACACUGUAUAUAGACUUUUUAUAUUGUGUUAUUGACUGUACGUUUGUUUAUUCCAUGUGUAACUCUGUGUUGUUGUUUGUGUCGCAUUGCUUUGCUUUAUCUUGGCCAGGUCGCAGUUGUAAAUGAGAACUUGUUCUCAACUGGCCUAUCUGGUUAAGGAAAGGUGAAAAAAAAGAAAUAAAAGAGAGUACAUUUUAAAGUUAGGGUUUAAUAAAUGUUAGUAGCUCUGUAAUGCAUUUCAGAUACUCACUAUAUCAUGUGUAUUUAAGAAAUCCUGACCUCACCCCUCUCGUCACACCCCCAAAAUCCUCAUGGUUCUAUAGUCAAUUCUUGUUCAGACCUCUGUCACCCUAUUCUUGAUCGAGCUGCCAGUAAAUAAAGAUGUGGCUCUCAUAUCCUGUUUCAAUAACAACGUUUCUGUAAUGGUUUCCAUGGUUGGUUUUAUUUGUGUAAGCUCUCCUCGCCCGUCUCCUAUUGACAUUCACUUAAGCCAUGUUCUGUUGACAUACACUUAAAACAUCCAUAUGUAAGUAACGAGCACUUCUUCUAAUCCAUGUUUAAAUAUUGCCUUAAAACAAUAAAUUAAAAGCACAUGAUAAUUUGAAUAAUUUGAAAGUACAUUGUUAUUUUAUAUUAUAAAUAAAUCCAUGAAUAUGUUUUAUUUUAUAUAUAUUGAGGUAGAUUGAGGUAACAUUUUAUGAAACAGAUGUUUGUUUCCAAUUUCUUUUAAAAGUAUUGUU
rnacentral:lncRNA from 13 species